rnacentral:rRNA from 1 species
CGUAGGUGGCAAGCGUUGUCCGGAAUUAUUGGGCGUAAAGCGCGCGCAGGCGGUUCUUUAAGUCUGAUGUGAAAGCCCACGGCUCAACCGCGGAGGGUCAUUGGAAACUGGGGAACUUGAGUACAGAAGAGGAAGGCGGAAUUCCACGUGUAGCGGUGAAAUGCGUAGAGAUGUGGAGGAACACCAGUGGCGAAGGCGGCUUUCUGGUCUGUAACUGACGCUGAGGAGCGAAAGCGUGGGGAGCGAACAGG